rnacentral:piRNA from 1 species
UCUCAGGCUCGUAGUUCGCCUUCAAC